GACGAACGCUGGCGGCGUGCUUAACACAUGCAAGUCGAGCGAGAACCGCAGGCGGGGUAACCCACCCGCGGGGAAAGCGGCGAACGGGUGAGUAACACGUGGGCAACCUGCCCCAGACUCUGGGAUAACCUCGGGAAACCGGGGCUAAUACCGGGUACUCUCGCCGGAUCGCAUGGUCCGGUGAGGAAAGCUCCGGCGGUCUGGGAUGGGCCCGCGGCCUAUCAGCUUGUUGGUGAGGUAACGGCCCACCAAGGCGACGACGGGUAGUUGGCGUGAGAGCGUGACCAACCACACUGGGACUGAGACACGGCCCAGACUCCUACGGGAGGCAGCAGUGGGGAAUCUUGGGCAAUGGGCGAAAGCCUGACCCAGCGACGCCGCGUGGGGGAUGAAGGCCCUCGGGUUGUAAACCCCUUUCAGCGGGGACGAAGCGAAAGUGACGGUACCCGCAGAAGAAGCCCCGGCUAACUACGUGCCAGCAGCCGCCGUAACAC
rnacentral:rRNA from 1 species